UCAAGUGAAGAAGCGCAUACGGUGGAUGCCUUGGCAGUCAGAGGCGAUGAAAGACGUGGUAGCCUGCGAAAAGCUUCGGGGAGUCGGCAAACAGACUGUGAUCCGGAGGUAUCUGAAUGGGGGAACCCAGCCAUCAUAAGAUGGUUAUCUUGUACUGAAUACAUAGGUGCAAGAGGCGAACCAGGGGAACUGAAACAUCUAAGUACCCUGAGGAAAAGAAAUCAACCGAGAUUCCCUUAGUAGUGGCGAGCGAACGGGGACCAGCCCUUAAGUUGUAUUGAGAUUAGCGGAACGUUCUGGAAAGGACGGCCAUAGUGGGUGAUAGCCCUGUACGCGAAAAUCCCUUUGCAAUGAAAUCGAGUAGGACGGGGCACGAGAAACCUUGUCUGAAUAUGGGGGGACCAUCCUCCAAGGCUAAAUACUACUGACUGACCGAUAGUGAACCAGUACCGUGAGGGAAAGGCGAAAAGAACCGCGGAGAGCGGAGUGAAAUAGAUCCUGAAACCGUAUGCGUACAAGCAGUGGGAGCCCACUUUGUUGGGUGACUGCGUACCUUUUGUAUAAUGGGUCAGCGACUUAUUUUCAGUGGCGAGCUUAACCGAAUAGGGGAGGCGUAGCGAAAGCGAGUCUUAAUAGGGCGUCUAGUCGCUGGGAAUAGACCCGAAACCGGGCGAUCUAUCCAUGGGCAGGUUGAAGGUUGGGUAACACUAACUGGAGGACCGAACCGACUACCGUUGAAAAGUUAGCGGAUGACCUGUGGAUCGGAGUGAAAGGCUAAUCAAGCUCGGAGAUAGCUGGUUCUCCUCGAAAGCUAUUUAGGUAGCGCCUCAUGUAUCACUGUAGGGGGUAGAGCACUGUUUCGGCUAGGGGGUCAUCCCGACUUACCAAACCGAUGCAAACUCCGAAUACCUACAAGUGCCGAGCAUGGGAGACACACGGCGGGUGCUAACGUCCGUCGUGAAAAGGGAAACAACCCAGACCGUCAGCUAAGGUCCCAAAGUCAUGGUUAAGUGGGAAACGAUGUGGGAAGGCUUAGACAGCUAGGAGGUUGGCUUAGAAGCAGCCACCCUUUAAAGAAAGCGUAAUAGCUCACUAGUCGAGUCGGCCUGCGCGGAAGAUGUAACGGGGCUCAAACCAUGCACCGAAGCUACGGGUAUCAUCUUUUGAUGAUGCGGUAGAGGAGCGUUCUGUAAGCCUGUGAAGGUGAGUUGAGAAGCUUGCUGGAGGUAUCAGAAGUGCGAAUGCUGACAUGAGUAACGACAAUGGGUGUGAAAAACACCCACGCCGAAAGACCAAGGUUUCCUGCGCAACGUUAAUCGACGCAGGGUUAGUCGGUCCCUAAGGCGAGGCUGAAAAGCGUAGUCGAUGGAAAACAGGUUAAUAUUCCUGUACUUCUGGUUAUUGCGAUGGAGGGACGGAGAAGGCUAGGCCAGCCUGGCGUUGGUUGUCCAGGUUUAAGGUGGUAGGCUGAGAUCUUAGGUAAAUCCGGGAUCUUAAGGCCGAGAGCUGAUGACGAGUGUUCUUUAGAACACGAAGUGGUUGAUGCCAUGCUUCCAAGAAAAGCUUCUAAGCUUCAGGUAACCAGGAACCGUACCCCAAACCGACACAGGUGGUUGGGUAGAGAAUACCAAGGCGCUUGAGAGAACUCGGGUGAAGGAACUAGGCAAAAUGGCACCGUAACUUCGGGAGAAGGUGCGCCGGUGAGGGUGAAGCAUUUACUGCGUAAGCUCAUGCCGGUCGAAGAUACCAGGCCGCUGCGACUGUUUAUUAAAAACACAGCACUCUGCAAACACGAAAGUGGACGUAUAGGGUGUGACGCCUGCCCGGUGCCGGAAGGUUAAUUGAUGGGGUUAGCGCAAGCGAAGCUCUUGAUCGAAGCCCCGGUAAACGGCGGCCGUAACUAUAACGGUCCUAAGGUAGCGAAAUUCCUUGUCGGGUAAGUUCCGACCUGCACGAAUGGCGUAACGAUGGCGGCGCUGUCUCCACCCGAGACUCAGUGAAAUUGAAAUCGCUGUGAAGAUGCAGUGUAUCCGCGGCUAGACGGAAAGACCCCGUGAACCUUUACUAUAGCUUUGCACUGGACUUUGAAUUUGCUUGUGUAGGAUAGGUGGGAGGCUUUGAAGCGUGGACGCCAGUCUGCGUGGAGCCAACCUUGAAAUACCACCCUGGCAACUUUGAGGUUCUAACUCAGGUCCGUUAUCCGGAUCGAGGACAGUGUAUGGUGGGUAGUUUGACUGGGGCGGUCUCCUCCUAAAGAGUAACGGAGGAGUACGAAGGUGCGCUCAGACCGGUCGGAAAUCGGUCGUAGAGUAUAAAGGCAAAAGCGCGCUUGACUGCGAGACAGACACGUCGAGCAGGUACGAAAGUAGGUCUUAGUGAUCCGGUGGUUCUGUAUGGAAGGGCCAUCGCUCAACGGAUAAAAGGUACUCCGGGGAUAACAGGCUGAUACCGCCCAAGAGUUCAUAUCGACGGCGGUGUUUGGCACCUCGAUGUCGGCUCAUCACAUCCUGGGGCUGAAGCCGGUCCCAAGGGUAUGGCUGUUCGCCAUUUAAAGUGGUACGCGAGCUGGGUUUAGAACGUCGUGAGACAGUUCGGUCCCUAUCUGCCGUGGACGUUUGAGAUUUGAGAGGGGCUGCUCCUAGUACGAGAGGACCGGAGUGGACGAACCUCUGGUGUUCCGGUUGUCACGCCAGUGGCAUUGCCGGGUAGCUAUGUUCGGAAAAGAUAACCGCUGAAAGCAUCUAAGCGGGAAACUUGCCUCAAGAUGAGAUCUCACUGGAACCUUGAGUUCCCUAAAGGGCCGUCGAAGACUACGACGUUGAUAGGUUGGGUGUGUAAGCGCUGUGAGGCGUUGAGCUAACCAAUACUAAUUGCCCGUGAGGCUUGACCAU
rnacentral:rRNA from 1 species